rnacentral:rRNA from 1 species
GAUGAACGCUAGCGGCAGGCCUAAUACAUGCAAGUCGGACGGGAUUCAGGAGCUUGCUUCUGAUGAGAGUGGCGCACGGGUGCGUAACACGUAUGUAACCUACCUUUAUCAGGGGGAUAGCCUCUCGAAAGAGAGAUUAAGCCCGCAUAAAAUCACAGCACAGCAUUGUGUAAUGAUCAAAUAUUUAUAGGAUAAAGAUGGGCAUGCGGAACAUUAGCUAGAUGGCGGGGUAACGGCCCACCAUGGCGACGAUGUUUAGGGGAUCUGAGAGGAUGGCCCCCCACACUGGUACUGAGACACGGACCAGACUCCUACGGGAGGCAGCAGUAAGGAAUAUUGGUCAAGGGGCGGAAGCCUGAACCAGCCAUGCCGCGUGCAGGAAGACGGCCCUACGGGUUGUAAACUGCUUUUAUACGGGAAUAAACCCAGAUACGUGUAUCUGGCUGAAUGUACUGUAAGAAUAAGGAUCGGCUAACCCCGUG